rnacentral:rRNA from 1 species
GAUGAACGCUGGCGGCGUGCCUAAUACAUGCAAGUCGAGCGAACAGACGAGGAGCUUGCUCCUCUGACGUUAGCGGCGGACGGGUGAGUAACACGUGGAUAACCUACCUAUAAGACUGGGAUAACUUCGGGAAACCGGCGCUAAUACCGGAUAAUAUAUUGAACCGCAUGGUUCAAUAGUGAAAGACGGUUUUGCUGUCACUUAUAGAUGGAUCCGCGCCGCAUUAGCUAGUUGGUAAGGUAACGGCUUACCAAGGCAACGAUGCGUAGCCGACCGGAGAGGGUGAUCGGCCACACUGGAACUGAGACACGGUCCAGACUCCUACGGGAGGCAGCAGUAGGGAAUCUUCCGCAAUGGGCGAAAGCCUGACGGAGCAACGCCGCGUGAGUGAUGAAGGUCUUCGGAUCGUAAAACUCUGUUAUUAGGGAAGAACAAAUGUGUAAGUAACUAUGCACGUCUUGACGGUACCUAAUCAGAAAGCCACGGCUAACUACGUG